rnacentral:rRNA from 1 species
GAGGGUGCAAACGUUGCUCGGAAUUACUGGGCGUAAAGCGCGUGUAGGUGGAUUGGUGUGUCAGAUGUGAAAUCCCUGGGCUCAACCCAGGAACUGCACCUGAAACUACCAGUCUUGAGCGGUGGAGAGGGAAGUGGAAUUCCUGGUGUAGAGGUGAAAUUCGUAGAUAUCAGGAGGAACACCAGUGGCGAAGGCGGCUUCCUGGACACCAACUGACGCUGAGACGCGAAAGCGUGGGGAGCAAACAGG